ACGCAUCCAUUGAUAGACCGUGAGCUCUGUAAUAGCUUUUUUGGUUUGCACAGAGAUGCAAUAGAAUAAUUCCUCGCGCUUUCUGUCUGUCUUAAUAUGUGGCUUUUCAGAUUGAAUAGAGGAAUACAAAU
ensembl:snoRNA